ACCUAGCUGGCUCAAUCAGUAGAGCAUGCAACUCUUGAUUUUGGGGUCAUGAGUUCAAGCCCCAUGUUGGGGG
rnacentral:tRNA from 1 species